rnacentral:tRNA from 1 species
GGGUCGGUGCCCGAGUGGCUAAAGGGAACGGGCUGUAAACCCGUUAGCGAGAGCUUACGCUGGUUCGAAUCCAGCCCGGCCCA